CCGACAUUCCGAAUACAACAAGCUGCUCAUUCCCAGGCCCAGUUCGGUUAUGCUCAGGAAGCUGUCGGUGGGGCUUUGAAUCUUCGCUUGAGCUGGUCUCCCUCCCCCUCUCCUGUCACAGCCCAGGCCCUAACACACAGAAGAAUCAACAAUAUGUAACGCCCACGCUGUGAGACCCUGCGCAGUGGUGUAUCCUCCAGCUCAGAGAGUGCUCUGUCCAGCUGGUGGACUACAGAUAAUUAAG